UCUGACUGAAGCCUUCCUUGACCACCUUAUGGAACAUUGCAGCCCUCCCGCUCACGCCCCUUGCUUCCUUCUCUGCUCGGUGCUAGAGGUUUAUGGUUGAUUUCUUGUUUGCCUGACUCCCACCAAAUGUGAGCUUGACAAGGGCAGGGUCUUGUCUGUCGCUCAGUGCUGCCUCCCCAGGGCUGGGAGCAGCGCCUGGCACCUGGUAGGGGCUGAAUAAGUAGAGGCGAAAGAAGGCAGAUGGGCAGGCCAAUCUGGGCCGACACCCUGACUCUGGGCCUGAGUGACCUGGGACACAGCCACACCCUUCCCCACCCUCGGUUUCCCCCUCUGUGAGGCGGAUGGGUUGGUCCAGCUCUGACCCUCCAUCAUCUUACACCUCUCUACCACGCUCAGAACCCACUCCACUUGGCAGAGGUGAAUGUGCCAAUGCCUCUAGAAUGCCAGGCACCCUAAAAUUCCAGGCCUGCCAGACACCCCGAAUUUCAAGGCGCAGCCCUGGUCCCCCAAGGCUUUGACAGCCAGGAAGAGGAGACAGGAGCCUGGAGCUUGGCUCUUUUUCCUUGGCAAAUUCUGGGGCACAGGACAGAAAGCGGAAAUAGGAAGAGACCACACCAUCCAAGCUGAGGCUUUGGGACCAAAAGGGACCCUGGGAAUCUCGAGGUCCAACUGUCUACACUUUAUGGAUGGAGACACUCGGGCCGAGAAGGGAGAAGUGAGGUCGCCCAGUGAUGUAGGAGCAGAGCAAGCACCGGGCACCGGUCCCCGGCUCGCCCAUCCCACCAGGCUGGCCCCUACUGCAGGAUUUUUGCUGUGAAAACCAGUGUUCUGACAUCAGAAGGCACAUCCUCUGCAAAUGUAGAUUUCUGAGCAAACACGCCCGUGAGAAGCUCCUGGUUGGCGAAUCAGAUAAUUCAUCACUUGAUUCUGGUGACCUCUAGUGGACGCACUUUAAAAGCAAUAUUCAGGUCUCAAGUAAAGGGACAGAGCUCAGACAAGUGUCCCGGAAGCAGUUUAUCCAGAGCUGGGCUUCUCAGACUCUCAGGUGCCUGCCAAAGAUCUGGGAAGAUUAGGAACCCGCGGCGUCCGGCCCCGGUAGGCCUGGUGAGUUGGAGACUCUGCCUUGUAACCCGCUCCCAGGUGCCGGCCGCGCUGCAGGUACUGAGAGCGCAGGUCCGAGGCCGGAGGAGACGCAGAGCUCAGAGCCACCUGCUGCUGAGCCACUGCCUGCGGGAGGCGCUCCCACGGACUAGCUCACUGCCCCGAAGUCAGAGGAAGGGCGGAGAUGUGACGCGCCCGAGGACACACAGCUGGCUAGGGCAGGAUUUUCACCGAGGACCUUGAAAAGCCAGCAGCCCCCACAUCCACAGUCACAUGUUAGAAAAUCCCGGGGACAGCACACUACAGUUUAUACAGAGCUUUGCACCUGCAUCACCAUCACCUGGCUACAUAAUUUGUGGGCCUAGUGGAAAAUAAAAAUUUGGGUCCCCUUGUCCCA
rnacentral:lncRNA from 1 species